AAUGGGGGAAACCCUGAUGCAGCAACGCCGCGUGAAGGAAGACGGUUUUCGGAUUGUAAACUUCUAUCAAUAGGGACGAAAGAAAUGACGGUACCUAAAUAAGAAGCCCCGGCUAACUACGUGCCAGCAGCCGCGGUAAUACGUAGGGGGCAAGCGUUAUCCGGAAUUACUGGGUGUAAAGGGUGAGUAGGCGGCAUGGCAAGUAAGAUGUGAAAGCCCGAGGCUUAACCUCGGGAUUGCAUUUUAAACUGCUAAGCUAGAGUACAGGAGAGGAAAGCGGAAUUCCUAGUGUAGCGGUGAAAUGCGUAGAUAUUAGGAAGAACACCAGUGGCGAAGGCGGCUUUCUGGACUGGAAACUGACGCUGAGGCACGAAAGCGUGGGGAGCGAA
rnacentral:rRNA from 1 species